rnacentral:rRNA from 1 species
CCAGCAGCUGCGGUAAUUCCAGCUCCAAUAGCGUAUAUUACAGUUGUUGCAGUUAAAAAGCUCGUAGUUGGAUUUCAGAGUGGGGGAGCACCUGCCGGCCCUUCGGGGUCGUGCGGGUGGCCUCUGUUCCUCCUUCGGAGAGAUCACUCUGCUCUUCACUGAGUGGGGUUGUAUCGCUCCGGACGUUUACUUUGAAGAAAUUAGAGUGUUCAAAGCAGGCGGUUACGCCUUGAAUACACUAGCAUGGAAUAAUGGAAUAGGACUCUGGUCCUAUUUCGUUGGUUUGAGGACCGGAGUAAUGAUUAAUAGGGAUAGUUGGGGGCAUUAAUAUUUCAUUGUCAGAGGUGAAAUUCUUGGAUUUAUGAAAGAUUAACUACUGCGAAAGCAUCUGCCAAGGAUGUUUUCAUUAAUCAAGAACGAAAGU